rnacentral:lncRNA from 1 species
AUCCCCGAGCAUGUCACCGUUUCUAUCCUGUGCCAAUCCUUCUCCGAAUCGAGCGACACCUUCCUGCGUCCCUGCCUCUCUCGCAUCACCAAAGUUCCUGAAAAGACACGGAUCACUUCCAGCUCCAAGGAAACAACCAGAAAGCAGCAACUUGAAGAGAAGUACCUCAUCACUGCCGCAGCUCAACGUCGAGCCAGCCCACCUCCGCUCCAUGUCUUUCGUUGGAACUCACGAGUACUUGGCACCGGAGAUCAUCGCUGGUGGUGGUCACGGCGGCGCUGUAGAC